rnacentral:rRNA from 1 species
UUGAAAGGGAAACGAUUGAAGUCAGUCGUACCGGUGGGUAAUCAGCCUCUCGGCGUGAUUAUGUGGAGCGUGACUCGGAGUUAAACGCCCUCAUGCCUGCAUAUUCGUGUAUUUUGGGUGUACUUAUCUGUAUGGUAGGUUAACAUCAAUUUUGGUCGUUAUAAAAUGACAGGGGAAAUGUAGCUUUGAUUUCGUAUUGAAGUGUUAUAGUCUCUGGUAGAUAUAGUGACCGGGAUUGAGGAUUGCAACGGAUACCCUUUCGGGGCUACCCGUCUGAUCUCUGAUCGUUACUCUGGUGCUGAAAGCUUGCUUACGGUUAUCAAAGUUGAUGGUUAAUAGGUUAGAACGGGUUAAAUUCGUUAAGGAUGU